GAUGAACGCUGGCGGCGUGCCUAAUACAUGCAAGUCGAGCGAACGGACGAGAAGCUUGCUUCUCUUAUGUUAGCGGCGAACGGGUGAGUAACACGUGGAUAACCUACCUAUAAGACUGGGAUAACUUCGGGAAACCGGAGCUAAUACCGGAUAAUAUUUUGAACCGCAUGGUUCAAAAGUGAAAGACGGUCUUGCUGUCACUUAUAGAUGGAUCCGCGAUGCAUUAGCUAGUUGGUAAGGUAACGGCUUACCAAGGCAACGAUGCAUAGCCGACCUGAGAGGGUGAACGGCCACACUGGAACUGAGACUCGGUCCAGACUCCGACGGGAGGCAGCGGUAGGGAAUCCUCCGCGAUGGGCGAGUGCCUGACGGAGCAAAGCCGCGUGAGUGAUGAAGGUCUUCGGAUCGUAGAACGAUGUUAUUAGGGAAGAACAUAUGUGUAAGUAACUGUGCACAUCUUGACGGUACCUAAUCAGAAAGCCACGGCUAACUACGUG
rnacentral:rRNA from 1 species